rnacentral:rRNA from 1 species
GAGUUUGAUCCUGGCUCAGAAUCAACGCUGGCGGCGUGCCUCAGACAUGCAAGUCGAACGCGAAAGUUCCCUUCGGGGAGCGAGUAGAGUGGCGCACGGGUGAGUAACACGUAGGUAAUCUACCUUUGGAUGGGGAAUAACAACCGGAAACGGUUGCUAAUACCGCAUAAUGCAGCGGCACCUAAUGGUGACAGUUGUUAAAGCGGGGGAUCGUAAGACCUCGCGUCUGAAGAGGAGCCUGCGGCAGAUUAGCUAGUUGGUAAGGUAAUGGCUUACCAAGGCUAUGAUCUGUAGCCGGCCUGAGAGGGCGGUCGGCCACACUGACACUGACAUACGGGUCAGACUCCUACGGGAGGCAGCAGUCGGGAAUUUUGGGCAAUGGGCGAAAGCCUGACCCAGCAACGCCGCGUGAAGGAUGAAAUCCUUCGGGAUGUAAACUUCGCAAGAACAGGAAGAAUAAACCGGUGUGAAUAUCACCGGCGAUGACGGUACUGUUUGUAAGCUCCGGCUAACUCCGUGCCAGCAGCCGCGGUAAUACGGGGGGAGCAAGCGUUGUUCGGAUUUACUGGGCGUAAAGGGCGCGUAGGCGGCCACCGCAAGUCGGUUGUGAAAUCUCCGGGCUUAACCCGGAAAGGUCAAUCGAUACUGCGGGGCUAGAGUGCAGAAGGGGCAACUGGAAUUCUCGGUGUAGCGGUGAAAUGCGUAGAUAUCGAGAGGAAUACCUGCGGCGAAGGCGGGUUGCUGGGCUGACACUGACGCUGAAGCGCGAAAGCUAGGGGAGCGAACGGGAUAGAUACCCCGGUAGUCCUAGCCUUAAACGAUGAAUGCUUG